rnacentral:tRNA from 1 species
UUAAAAAAGCCGCUAUG